rnacentral:lncRNA from 10 species
GUUAAGGAUCCUGAUGUUUCACUGGAGAGGAGCCUCUCUGAUCCUCACCUGAUGAAAUCAAGUGUUCACCAAACUGAUGCUCCUUGAGGAUACAGGUUGUGCCUUCCUUGUCUUUGUGACCCUAUUGCCCAUCAGAAUGCCUGGCAUAUAGUGGACAUUCAAGGAAUACCUGUUGAACUGAAAGAAACUUCAGUGGGAGGGUAAAGCAGAUCUGACACUUACCCUUCCACUCAGAAAAGCCAGCAUAUCAUUGAAAGCACCUCGUUCCCUCCAGCCAGCCUUCAGCCCUGCACCUCACAUCAACCACUCUGAAAAUUACAGUGGAGACAAAGAAUUGAGCCUGUCCAAUUUUUCACUUCUUCCUUCAUUUUAUUUUUCUUUUUCUAUCAGGAAACUUCAGGCUACCAUACCUGCUUCAACUGUAGGAGAAUCUUAGUUCUGGAGAGUUGACCCUCCAGGCGAAGCAUUAGGCUUUGAUACAAUUUGUCUGGUACCGGCUGUAGAUCUGGUUUGGGCCCCAGACUAUCUUCCCUGUCCUCAAGAAUCAAAACCAACUUGGAAUGACUCCUGGCCCACUCAGCACCUUUCCGCAGGAAGCCAGAAGAAUGAAGUGCCACACAUAUCAUCAGAGAGAAUUCCAAGGAAGAGGGAAUGGUCUAUAGUGUCUCAAGCCACAUUAAUCCUUCAAGAACAGUGUUAACUUUCUCAGGCUACUGGAACUCCACUUUUUGGAACUGUUAUAUUUACUGUUGGGGAGUGACUUUGGCACCAAGGAGAACUUGGCUCAGUAGGUA